AUGUUCUCACGCUCGGAUCCUGCUCAAGUAUCCAACACUUCCUUGAACGACAAGACCGAUGGCGAAACUUCCAGAAAUAACACUGAAAAAGUGAACAAUAUAUCUGAUAAUGGUUCAGGCAGUGACAGUACCGUGGUAACAAGUGCAAGGAAAUCUAACGGGGACAAUACAGAUCAUCGGGUGAACAUUGCCACCACACCAAAUAAGAGAGCAGAAACUGAAACCAGGCCAUACAAAGGCCUUGUUGACACUGCUGCACCAUUUGAGUCUGUCAAAGAGGUUGUCAGCAAGUUUGGAGGAAUUGUUGACUGGAAAGCAUACAGAACCCAUACAUUGGAGAGACGCGGGGCUACGCAACUUGAACUUGAGAAGGUUAAACAAGACAUUCCACAAGUCAAAGAAGGUUCAGAAACUGCUGAAAUGGCAAGAUCGCUAGUGGUCGAGGAGCUAGAGACAACCAAAAGGCUUGUAGAGGAGCUGAAGCACAAGCUGGAGAGAGCAGAGGUUGAACUGGAGCAAUCAAAGCAGGAUUCUGAACUUGCACAACUCAGAUCACAGGAAAUGGAGCUGGGGAUCGAGAAUGGAGCCAGUGUAGUAGCUCAAACAGAGUUGGCAGUAGCCAAAGAAAGGCAUCAAAAGGCUAUUGAGGAACUGAAGAUGGUCAAAGAGGGAUUAGGAUCAACACAAGAACAGUACACCACCUUAGUAAGUGAAAGGGAUGCAGCAAUCAAAAGAGCAGAGGAAGCUGCUUCUGCUGCGAAGGAGAGCGAGAAGCGAGUCGAGGAGCUUACUCUGGAACUAUUCGCAUCCAGAGAAUCUCUCGAGUUGGCGCACGCCGCGCACCACGACGCAGAAGAGCACAGGCUUGGAGCAGCUUUGGCAAGAGAGCAGGAUUGCCUGGCCUGGGAGAGAGAGUUGCAGCAGGCGAAAGAGGACUUGCGGCAACUCGAUGAGCAAAUCCUAUCCAAAAUCUCUGUCCAGUCCAAACUUGAUGGAAACAAGGGCAUUUUGCUUAGGCUCAGUGCUGAUCUGGCUGCCUAUAUGGCAAGCAAAUCUAACGAAGAAGCCGGAGCAGUUGAGGAGCAUGGUUCUGAGGAAGAUAGAGAAAUGAUUAGGUCAAUCAAGCAAGCUCUAGCAUCAGCCAGAAUGGAGCUUGAGGGUGUUAGAGGAAACAUAGCAAAAACAACCGAUGAAGCCAACUUAAUACGAGCUGUUGCAGAAUCGCUAAAGACAGAGCUGGAUAAGGAGAAAGCUUCACUUGUUACAUUGCAACAGAGGGAGAGCAUGGCGUCCAUCACACAUUCUUCUCUAGAAGCCGAGCUCAGUAGAACAAAACAAGAGAUAGAAAUGGCGUACACCAAGGAAGCAGAAAGCAGGGCAAAAAUGGCAGAUAUUCCAAAGAUGCUGCAGCGAGCAGCCCAGGAGGCAGAUGAUGCCAAGGUGGCAGCACAUUCGGCACGAGAAGAACUGAGGAAAUCCAAGGAAGAAGCCGAGCAAGCCAAGGCCGCUGCCACGACUGUGGAGGUCAGGCUACGUGCAGCUUUGAAAGAAAUAGAGGCGUCUAAGGCAUCCGAGAGGUUGGCACUAGUGGCAGCUCAAGCAUUGCAAGAGAGUGAGGAGGCUACAAGUGCUGAAGAUUCUCCGAGAGUGACACUUCCGGUAGGCGAAUACUACCUUCUUAGCAAGAGGGUUCAUGAAGCCGAAGAGCUCGCCAGCGAGAGGGUGGCGGCAUCGUUGGCGCAAAUAGAGCUGGCGAAAGAAUCUGAGUCAAGGAGCCUGGAGAGACUUCUUGAAGUAACCAGGAGUAUGGAUCAAAAGAAGGAUGCUCUCAAAAUCGCAUCGCAGAGGGCUGCCAUGGCAGAGGAGGGGAAACUUGGCGCCGAGGCGCAGCUGAGGAAAUGGAGAUCUGAGCAUAAGCAGCUUCGAAAAGCUCAUGAAGCUGCAAAAUACGCAACUAGUCCUUUGAGUACUCCAUUUGCUGGAUACAAGGAGGCCUCUUACCAGGAAAAUAAGGAGGUCCUUACAGAACCAAUAUCAUACAUGUCAGAUAAUAGCAUGGGUGGAUUUGUUUCGGACAAGAAGCUACGGAAAAAGAAGACGUUCUUCCCCCAGAUGUCCACCCUUUUCUCUAGAAAGGUGCAGACACAAACAUAA
rnacentral:rRNA from 1 species